rnacentral:lncRNA from 1 species
UUGGACAAGAAAUGAAUUCCCCUUGUGUAUGCGCGCCUCAAAAAGGUAUAGUACUCGAUUCCAUUCCAUGCAUCGGGGGAAAUCGAAAAAGCCAGCGUUUCUUGGAAUACCGAGUAUAAUGCUACCAAUAAUUGUACUAAUCCAACCGCAUAUGUCUUUCUCCUACCAAAAGUAAUGAAAAAACAAAUAAGGAUUUCCCCUUUGCUUUGACAAUGGAAUUCUGCCCCCGGUCCCCUUCA